rnacentral:rRNA from 1 species
ACGAACGCUGGCGGCGUGCCUAAUACAUGCAAGUAGAACGCACAGUUUAUACCGUAGCUUGCUACACCAUAGACUGUGAGUUGCGAACGGGUGAGUAACGCGUAGGUAACCUGCCUGGUAGCGGGGGAUAACUAUUGGAAACGAUAGCUAAUACCGCAUAAUAUUAAUUAUUGCAUGAUAAUUAAUUGAAAGGUGCAAUUGCACCACUACCAGAUGGACCUGCGUUGUAUUAGCUAGUAGGUGAGGUAACGGCUCACCUAGGCGACGAUACAUAGCCGACCUGAGAGGGUGAUCGGCCACACUGGGACUGAGACACGGCCCAGACUCCUACGGGAGGCAGCAGUAGGGAAUCUUCGGCAAUGGACGAAAGUCUGACCGAGCAACGCCGCGUGAGUGAAGAAGGUUUUCGGAUCGUAAAGCUCUGUUGUAAGAGAAGAACGGGUGUGAGAGUGGAAAGUUCACACUGUGACGGUAUCUUACCAGAAAGAGACGGCUAACUACGUG